AUAAAGUCGUAAUUUUCCCGC
rnacentral:snRNA from 1 species